rnacentral:rRNA from 1 species
AGAGUUUGAUCAUGGCUCAGAUUGAACGCUGGCGGUAUGCUUAACACAUGCAAGUCGAACGGAAACGAUGGUAGCUUGCUACCAGGCGUCGAGUGGCGGACGGGUGAGUAACGCGUAGGAAUCUGCCCAGUAGUGGGGGACAACCAGGGGAAACCCUGGCUAAUACCGCAUACACCCUACGGGGAAAAGAGGGCCUCUUCUUGAAAGCUCUUGCUAUUGGAUGAGCCUGCGUGAGAUUAGCUAGUUGGUGAGGUAAAAGCUCACCAAGGCGACGAUCUCUAGCUGGUCUGAGAGGACGAUCAGCCACACUGGGACUGAGACACGGCCCAGACUCCUACGGGAGGCAGCAGUGGGGAAUAUUGGACAAUGGGCGCAAGCCUGAUCCAGCAAUACCGCGUGGAGGAUGACACAUUUCGGUGCGUAAACUCCUUUUAUAUAGGAAGAUAAUGACGGUACUAUAUGAAUAAGCACCGGCUAACUCCGUGCCAGCAGCCGCGGUAAUACGGAGGGUGCAAGCGUUACUCGGAAUCACUGGGCGUAAAGAGCGUGUAGGCGGGUUAAUAAGUUGGAAGUGAAAUCCUAUGGCUCAACCAUAGAACUGCUUUCAAAACUGUUGACCUAGAAUAUGGGAGAGGUAGAUGGAAUUUCUGGUGUAGGGGUAAAAUCCGUAGAGAUCAGAAGGAAUACCGAUUGCGAAGGCGAUCUACUGGAACAUUAUUGACGCUGAGACGCGAAAGCGUGGGGAGCAAACAGGAUUAGAUACCCUGGUAGUCCACGCCCUAAACGAUGCACACUAGUUGUUGCCUUGCUCGACAAGGCAGUAAUGCAGUUAACACAUUAAGUGUGCCGCCUGGGGAGUACGGUCGCAAGAUUAAAACUCAAAGGAAUAGACGGGGACCCGCACAAGCGGUGGAGCAUGUGGUUUAAUUCGACUAUACGCGAAGAACCUUACCUGGACUUGACAUAGAAAGAAUCUAAUAGAGAUAUAAGAGUGCUAGUUUACUAGAGCUUACAUACAGGUGCUGCACGGCUGUCGUCAGCUCGUGUCGUGAGAUGUUGGGUUAAGUCCCGCAACGAGCGCAACCCUCGUGUUUAGUUACUAACAGUUCGGCUGAGGACUCUAGACAGACUGCCUGGGUAACCAGGAGGAAGGUGAGGACGACGUCAAGUCAUCAUGGCCCUUACGGCCAGGGCUACACACGUGCUACAAUGGGGUAUACAAAGAGCCGCGAUACCGUGAGGUGGAGCAAAUCUCAUAAAAUAUCUCCCAGUUCGGAUAGUAGUCUGCAACUCGACUACUUGAAGUUGGAAUCGCUAGUAAUCGUAGAUCAGCAAUGCUACGGUGAAUACGUUCCCGGGUCUUGUACUCACCGCCCGUCACACCAUGGGAGUUGAUUUCAUUCGAAGCGGGGAUGCUAAAGUAGCUACCUUCCACAGUGGAUUUAGUAACUAGGGUGAAGUCGUAACAAGGUAACC